CUGGAAUACUUCCUCAUCCAGUCCUGGGUAAAGACAAGGAGAAGCCUUCUGAAACAAAGUAAGCUGCUGUUCAUGAGUGACUGCUCGGAUCAGUGUUCUGACUGGAAGAAAUUUGGCAAAGGCAAGGGGUCCUGAAAAAACUGACAGGAUGAAGCAACUGUCUUUAUAUUGGAGUAAAUUAAAUUGAGUGUAAAGAUGAAGAUACUCUCUAGGUCAGAAGGAUUUCUGGCAGAUGUGUCUUCUUUUACAAUAUCCUUGCUAAUCAAAGCUGGACGUCGGUGGAUGGAUUGACGUACCACUGAG